rnacentral:rRNA from 1 species
CAAGCGGAUCUCUUAAAGCCGUUCUCAGCUCGGACUGUAGGCUGCAACUCGCCUACACGAAGCUGGAAUCGCUAGUAAUCGCGGAUCAGCACGCCGCGGUGAAUACGUUCCCGGGCCUUGUACACACCGCCCGUCACACCAUGAGAGUCUGUAACACCCGAAGCCGGUGGGAUAACCUUUAUAGGAGUCAGCCGUCUAAGGUAGGACAGAUGAUUAGGGUGAAGUCGUAACAAGGUACC